UAGCCAGUGAUGAUAUCAAUUAUUAAAAUACCAUCUUUCGGGACUGAAAAUACUUGAUGUUAUUCUGCAAUUCUGAGGCUA